rnacentral:rRNA from 1 species
UACGAAGGGGGCUAGCGUUGUUCGGAAUUACUGGGCGUAAAGCGUGCGCAGGCGGCUUCUCAAGUCAGGGGUGAAAGCCCAGAGCUCAACUCUGGAAUUGCCUUUGAGACUGAGUGGCUUGAGUACGAGAGAGGUGAGUGGAAUUCCCAGUGUAGAGGUGAAAUUCGUAGAUAUUCGGAGGAACACCAGUGGCGAAGGCGGCUCACUGGUCCGGUACUGACGCUGAGGUGCGAAAGCGUGGGGAGCAAACAGG